AUGGCUAAAGGUGACCCCAAGAAACCGAAGGGCAAGAUGUCUGCUUAUGCCUUCUUUGUGCAAACUUGCCGGGAAGAGCAUAAGAAGAAGAACCCAGAGGUUCCUGUUAACUUCGCAGAAUUUUCUAAAAAGUGCUCCGAGAGGUGGAAGACUAUGUCCGGGAAAGAGAAAUCCAAGUUUGAUGAGAUGGCAAAAGCUGAUAAGGUACGAUAUGAUAGAGAAAUGAAGGACUACGGACCAGCAAAAGGUGGCAAGAAGAAGAAGGAUCCUAAUGCACCCAAAAGGCCCCCGUCUGGCUUCUUCCUCUUCUGUUCAGAGUUUCGUCCCAAGAUCAAGUCUACAAACCCUGGCAUAUCCAUUGGGGAUGUGGCAAAGAAGCUUGGUGAAAUGUGGAACAAUCUCAGUGACAACGAGAAGCAACCUUAUAAUAAUAAGGCAGCCAAACUGAAGGAGAAAUAUGAGAAGUGAAGGGGAAGAAACAGGAGAGCCUGGAGAAGAGAGAAUGGCUGCCCAUCAAGGGAAGAUAAUUGGCCCAGGGUCACAUGGGCAAGAAAGAAGCAGUGGUAUCUGGAAGGCAUCCAGGACCGAAAAGAUGAGCUCUCACAGGUUUUCGUGACACUGCUCUCUCCUGGUUCUUCUCCUACCUAUCUGACCACUCCUCCUCUGCCUUCGUUGCUGGAUCUUCGCUCAGGUUAUGCUGAUAACUGUGGAAGUGUACCCCAAGAUUCAGUUCUAGGCCCUCUUCUCCUUCUCCUUCUUUAUUUUUAGUACUUUUUUUUGAUGUCAUCUUUCUUAAAUCAUCAUAGUUAUCCUCUGCAUCCCUCCCCUUCCCAGAGAGCAGUGCCAUAUAACAAUCAGAAUUUGUUUUUAAAGAGGAAAAAUGAACUCGACUGCUAAACACAUUGACUAAAUUUGAAAACAGAGGUAAUGUGUUGCACCAGUGGACGUCUCGCCUCUGUGAAGGGGUAGGUUGGGGGUUUCUUUUUCUGUCUCUUCAUUAGAGUCAUGUUUGAUCGUAAUGAUUUUCUUACAUUCCCUUUUGAUUUUUGGUGUGUGAUUGUUCUUUCCAUUUACAUUGUUGCCUUCAUUGUAUAUUUUAUUUGGUUGGCUCUGUUUACUUCGCUCUGUAUCAGUUCACGUAGAUCUUUCCAUGCUUCUCUGUAUUCAUCAGAUAGCGUCAUUUCGUGUAGCACAAUAGUAUCCAUUGCUUUCGUGUUUUGCAGUUUGUUUGUUCCCCAGUCUGUGGGUGUCUACUUUAUUUUUAAUUCUUCACUAUCCCAGAAAGUGUUGCUAUACAUAUUUUAGCAUAUACAAGAACUUUCUCCUUAUAUACGGCUUUCUUGGAGCACAAUCCAGUAAUGGGUCUCUGGUUCAAAUGGGAUGGACAUUUUAAUCAUUCUAUCUCCAUACUUCCAAAUUGCUUUCCAGGGUGGUUGUCCUAGCUCACUGGUCCACCAACAAUGUGUUAGCUUCCAUGUCUUUCCACAGCCCUUCCAACGUAGACUGUUGUCGUUUUUUGACUUUUUUCCCAGUUCAUGAGGUAUGAGGUGACCUUCUACAUUCUUUCAGUUGGUGAAUCCAACUGAAGCUUACAUGGCUUCAUUCCUUUAUUUUUGAAAAGAAAUUCUUUUUUGUCAGUUAAAUGUAUAAACAAUUUGGGACAAUUGUUUUCUGACAUUUUAGGACUCAGAUUUUCUCCCUUCCUCCCUGUCCCCUCUCCUCCCAGAGGCAAGAAGUCAUUUGAUAUAGGUUAUACGAGUGUUUUCAUGCAAUGCAUACUACCAUAUUGAUCAUGUCUUCAUAGAAGACAUAGCUCAUGUAGUUUCAAUUAUCAUCUGGAUGCAGAUGAUUCUCAGAUAUCAUUGUGUCACCUGAAUCUCUCUCCCACAUGUCCAACUACCCAUCAGACACCUUAAAGCCAAUGUGUCUCCACUGGAAUUUGUCAUCCCCAUGCUCCUCGACCCCCAUCCCCUCCAAAGCUCUCCUCUUCCUAACUUCCCUAUUGUUGUUUCAGGUACCAUCAUGCUCCCAAGAGCCCAGCCUUCCGACUAAGAUGUCAUCCUUCUCACUCUCACCCCCCCAGUAGCCAAUCAGCUGCCCACCUUCACCAUAUCUCAUUUCUGAACCCUUCUGUCCCUCUCACACUGCAGUCACCCUGGUACCAGCCAUCCUCACUUCACUCCUGGACUAUUGCAAUACGUUUCUUGCUCAUCUUCCUCCUUCUCUUCCCACUCCAAUUCUUCCUCCACUUAACUGUCAAACUGUUUACCCUAAAGUUUGGGUCUGACUGUGUUGUCCCCCAUUCAUUAAAUUCCAUUAGAACUGUAUUACUGCCAGGAUCAAAGGGAAAUUCUUCGUUUGGUUUUGCACAUCCUGGCUCUCCUGCUACUAUUCCAGUCUCUGUCGGCCUCGAUUUCUCCCUUUCUCCAUACUCUGGCAUCCAAAAACACUGGCCUCCUUAUUGUUCUUCACAGCAGAUACUUUGGGUCCUGACACAAAGCUGCCUUGUCUGACUGGCUGUGCCCUGUGCCUAGAGCUGUCUCCCACCUCUUCUCUGCUUCUAGGCUGCCUAUUGGGCUCUGCUAAAGUUACAUCUUCUUCAAGAAACCUUUCCUGGUCCUCUGUAGUAAUUCUAGUGCCUUCUCUCUGAAAGUCCCCCAUUUUAGCCUGCCUAGAUUGUGUGUGCAUGUUGUCUCCUCUGUUAAGGCUUAGAGCUUCCUGAGAGCAGGGACUGUUUGUUGUCCUCCCUGGGGAUACAAUAUCCCCAGCACACACAGUGCCCAGCACAUAGUCGUUGCUUGAUCAGGAGUUUCCCUCUCAGGUGGCACAGACAAGACCCCAGAAGCUGCCUUGUACAGCUUAGAGAAAUGAGCCUGGCAUCUGAGGAUCCCCACUUGGAGGAUACCAUUUGGACCAAGGGUUUCUGGCCUUUUCUGGGUCAUGGGCAGACCCCUUAAGGAAUUCCAUGAAGCCUACAGGCUCCUCCUCAGAGGCCCUUUUUUUUUUUAAAAAAAAUCCUUACUGUCUUAGCAACAACUCUAUGACAAAAGGGCAAGGGGCAGACAAUUGGGGUUAAGUGACUUGCCCAGGGUCACACAAUGAGGAAGUGUCUGAAGCCAAGUCGUCCGUAUGCCAGGCCUGGUGCUCCAUCUGCUGUCAUAUUUUUCAAUGCAUACGAUAAAAUAUUUAGGGUUAUAAAAAGGAAACUAAUUAUGGUAUAAUAGCUACUCUCUGUGGGUAUAUAGAUAGAGAAAUAUAUAGAACAAUUGCCCAUCAGACACUUCAAACUGGAUCUCACAGACCAAUGUCCACAGCUGAACUCAGUUUUGUAUAUUUAUAUGCGUAUGGUCAUGGACCUUAUAUUAAGAACACCUAGUCAGUUCCAACUCCAUUUUACAAAUGUGGAAACUGAGGCCCAAGGUUCCCCCUGUAGUAAGUGGCAAAGCCAAGAUUUAAACUUGGGUCCUUAAACUGUAAAUACUGCCCUCUUUCCAGGGUUUCAGGCUGGGCUCAGCCUGGUACAGCUGCUGCUGUGUGCUGGGGUUUAGAGGACACAAGGGAGGCAGGGCCAGAGUUCUUCAUAGGUUUCCCUUAGCAACUGGGUAGCCAGCUAUGUCCCCCCCCCCCCCCCGCCCCCCCAUCCCUCAGCCAUUUAGCUCUGUUGCCACCUGCUGGCCAUCAUCAAGCACUGCAAUUCUCCUGGCCAUAUUUUGAGAGGCUUCCUGUUACCCUAUCCUGGAACACUCAUAGCUAGUUCCUCCCUUUCUUUCUCCCUAUCUCCAUCUUUUAUUCCCUUCCUCUUUCCCUGCCUCCCUCCCUGCUUCUCUGUUACCACGAGACCAGCAAGUUAGAGGUGGAAGUCCUCUAGAAGACACCUCAGAAAGACUUGGAAAUAUUUUGGUGCAUCUUUGGUUGGAGUUUCUGUUGCUUAGGGCUGUCUCUUCCUAAUAGGGCUUCCCUCUAAUUCUCUUUUUACUCCUUUCCUUCUUAUUUCUCUCUUAAGGGAAAUUUACCUUACCUUACCAACUACCCAUGAGAAUUCUUUCCUCCUUUGGCUAGAUUAGAGUGUUGGUCCCUCUUCCCAUCUCCUCCUUGUUUAAAUAGGCUUCUCCUUGCACACCCUGAUCAUAUGAGAUGAUUUCCACAGCCCUCCUCUCCUCCUUUUCACCUUUCUUUCCAUUCUUCUUUUAGACAGUCCUGACCUAAGAGAACACUCUCAUGCCUAAGACUUCUUCUAGGACUCCUGAUGAUAGAGAUCAGAGGGGACACAAACAUCACCUCCCCUUAUCUGAACAUUAGCCAUUUAUCCUCAUUUAGUCCCUUAAGCAUGUGCCUUUGUCUUUACCUCAUUACUAUUUGUAUUAUUCCCUUUACUGCUGUGUUUGAACUUCAGAAUUUCUAUGUAUCUCUAGUCUUUUCAUCAGGAAUUCUUGAAAGCACUCUAUUUCAUUAAAGAUCCAUUUUCCUCCCCUAUAGGAUUACACUCAUUUUUUCUGGGUAAGUCAUUUUUGACUGUUUCUACCCUUUGUGUGUCUUCUUGAAUAUUGUAUUCCAAGCUUUCCACUCAUUCAUAGUAGUAGUCACUAAUUCAUUUGUGAUUCGGACUGGCUCCUCAGCACUUGAAUUCUUUCUUUCAGGCUGCUCCCAGGAUUUUUUCUUUGCCCUGGAAGCUUUGGAAUUUGGUUAUAGUGUUCCUGAGAGUUUUCAUUUUCUAGGUGACCAUUUCAGGAGACAACUAGUAGAUUCUGUUUCCACUUUGCCCUCUGGCCCAAAGAUAUCUGCUGGAUUUUUGGGGAGAUUUCUUGAGGGGUUUUUUUGGUCAUGGUUUUCACAUAGUUCAGAGAUUCUUCUAUUGUUUCAACUUGAUUGUUUUUUAUGUCAGUUGUUUUUGCUAUGAAAUACCUCAUGUUUUCUUCUAUUUUUUUCAAUCAUUUGACUUUAUUUUAAUAUUUCUUGUUGUCUCAUUGGCUUCUAUUUGUUCCAUUCUAAAUUUCACGGAGUUAAUGUAGGGAAGGUUUUGUACCUCUUGGGCCAAGCUAUUACUUUCCUUUUCCAAUUCUUUCUUCUAUAACUCUCAUUUCUUCCCUCUCCCCCCCCUUUAAUGUUCUCAUUUCAUCUAAAAAGUUUUAAUUUCUUUUUUUAAACCCUUGUUUCAUUUCUUCCAGGAAUUCCAGUUGAACUGGUGCCCAAGCUGUUAUUCUUUGAGGCUUUGCUUGUAAGAUAUUUUGGAGUCCUUCUCUUCUGGGUUUGCGGCUCUCCUUUGAUUUGCUCAGGGUUAGGAGAGAGCCAUUGACCCCUGUUUGCUGAGGAUCUUGGAUUUUGAGUGGCCUGAGCCCUUGAGGCCAUCUAAUUCCAACUCUCUCCCUCUUACAGAUUUGCAAACCCAUCCCCAGGGAUUGGAAGUGGUUUGUCCAGGGUCACACAGGAAGCUAAUCAAUCAGUCAAUCUAUAAGCAUUUUUAAGGCCUUUACAAUGUGUCAGGCACCAUGCCUAAAGCUGUGUAUGUAUGUAUGUGUAUGUAUAUAUAUAUAUAAUAUAUAUAAUAUUAUAUAUAUAUAUAUAUAUAUAUAUAUAUCAAAGGAACUUGCUCUCAAUACCACAGGGAGAAAAUAUGUUCAAAUAAGAAUAUAUAAGAUAAAAACUGAUGGAAAUGGGGCACCUAAGUGUCUCAGUGGAUUGAGAGCUAGGCCUGGAAAAGGGAGGACCUGGGUUCAAAUUUGACCUCACAUGCUUUCCAACUGUGUGACCCUGGGCAAGUCAGUUAACCCCUAUUGCCUAGCUCUUACUGCCUUGGAACUUCUACUGAAUAUUGAUUCUAAGACAGAAGGCAGUGGUUUAACAAGUAUAUUUAAGCACCUGUGUGCCAGGCAUUGUGUUAUGUGCUGCUAAAUCCAGGGAAAAAAUGAAGAGGUGGGGGGCAGGUAGGUGGCUUAGUAGAUUGAGAGCCAGGCCUAGAAAUGGAAGCACCUGGGUUUAGAUCUGGUCUUAGACACUUCCCUAGCUGUGUGGCCCUGAGCAAGUCACUUAACCCCCAUUGCUUAGCACUUACCACUCUUCUGCUUUGGAACCAAUAUACAGUCUUGAUUCUAAGAUGGAAGGUCAGAGUUUUAUUUUGAAGAAACCAAACCAAACAAAAACAAA